CAUAUUGAAGAGCAAAUGAGUUGGUUGUUAUAGGAUUUAGUUGUGGGAUACAUGGGUGUGCCAAAAUAUUCUGGAAUCAGCAUGACUCAACAUCCACAGUAUGUUACAGUAAGGAAAGGGUCCUGAACCUGCCCCAAAGUUUGUUGGCAAUGUGAUUGCUUUCUUG